rnacentral:rRNA from 1 species
UGUCGAACGGGGGUUAUUCUUUAUAGCUUGCUACGAAGGUAAUUAGUGGCAGACGGGUGAGUAAUGCAUAGGAAUCUACCUAGUAGUAUGGGAUAGCCACUAGAAAUGGUGGGUAAUACUGUAUAAUCCCUGCGGGGGAAAGAUUUAUCGCUAUUAGAUGAGCCUAUGUUAGAUUAGCUAGUUGGUAGGGUAAUGGCCUACCAAGGCGGUGAUCUAUAGCUGGUCUGAGAGGAUGAUCAGCCACACUGGAACUGAGAUACGGUCCAGACUCCUACGGGAGGCAGCAGUGGGGAAUAUUGGACAAUGGGCGCAAGCCUGAUCCAGCUAUGCCGCGUGAGUGAGGAAGGCCUUAGGGUUGUAAAACUCUUUCAGUAGGGAAGAUAAUGAGGGGUACCUAUAA